UGGUCCUAGCCUUGAAAUCAACUUUUACUUAACUUACACAUGCAAGUCUCAGCACCCCCGUGAAAACGCCCUUUCAACCCCAAUAGGGACAAGGAGCUGGUAUCAGGCUCAAUUUUAGCCCAAGACACCUAGCUACGCCACACCCACAAGGGAAAUCAGCAGUGAUUAACAUUGACAAUAAGCGCAAGCUUGACUCAGUUAAUGUAAAAUAGGGCCGGCAAAUACCGGUGCCAGCCGCCGCGGCUACACCGUGAGGCUCAAGUUGAUCUCUAACGGCGUAAAGAGUGAUUAAAGAUAUUUUAAACUGUAGUUAAACAAAAGCUAAGCCGUUAUACGCUUGCUUUAUUGAAAACCAAUUAAACGUAAGUCACUACAACAUAUUCAACUUGAACUCACGACAGUUAGGAAACAAACUGGGAUUAGAUACCCCACUAUGCCUAACCGUAAACCUUAACUUACACCCAAAUCGCCAGGGAACUACGAGCAAAGCUUAAAACCCAAAGGACUUGACGGUACCCCACAUCCACCUAGAGGAGCCUGUCCUAUAAUCGAUAAUCCCCGUUUAACCUCACCACUCUUAGCCUAUCAGCCUGUAUACUUCCGUCGUCAGCUUACCUCGUGAGCGAUUUUCAGUGAGCCCAAUGCCCACUCAGCAAAACGUCAGGUCAAGGUGCAGCUUACAGAGUGGGAAGAGAUGGGCUACACUCUCUAACUUAGAAAACACGAAAGACUAUUUAUGAAAUCUAGUCAGAAGGCGGAUUUAGCAGUAAAAGAAGACAAUAGUGCUCCUUUUAAUUUGGCACUGGGGUGUGUACACACCGCCCGUCACCCUCUUCAAACUCUAUAGAUUAGUAUAUAACCAAUUAAAGAAAUAACAGAAGAGGCAAGUCGUAACAUGGUAAGUAUACCGGAAGGUGUGCUUGGAAA
rnacentral:ncRNA from 1 species